UACAUCCACUGUGAACGUAAGAGGAAAUAACCAUAGAAACCUGAUAGAUUAACCACACGAUCAUAGCGUAAUGUCCGGAAUCAUCUGAAUAAAAAGACAAUAACUGUGAGCAGGUGUUCAAACUGCAUUCUAGAAUUGGUCGAGGGAGUUACAGCAUCUUAUUGCAGCAAGCCCAACCAGUCCGGACGUACAGACUAACAGACAGGAGUUACAGCCGAAUUCUGAACAAUGAAUCUGACAGUUUUCUUCACUUCACUUGUGCUAUGCUCUCUUGUUCUGUUCGGCGUGACCGCCGCCAAAGGACGUGGUGGACGAUGUGGCCGUAAAGGAUAACGUGUGAACGAAAUCUCUAAUGCUUUGACGUAUUCCAUCCGUGGUAGGUACUGUUGUCAUGGUGACGUGACGUAAUGGAUCUGAAACCUUUGGAUGUCAUGUAUUGGUUGGAUGUGUCAGAGAAAUAAA